CAAUAGCGUAUAUUUAAGUUGUUGCAGUUAAAAAGCUCGUAGUUGGAUUUCGGAUGGGAUUUGCCGGUCCGUCGUUACGAUGUGCACUGGCCAGUCCUAUCUUGUUGUCGGGGACUAGCUCCUUGGAUUCACUUCCUGGGACUAGGAGCUGACGAGGUUACUUUGAGUAAAUUAGAGUGUUCAAAGCAAGCCUACGCUCUGAAUACAUUAGCAUGGAAUAACACGAUAGGACUCUGGCUUAUCUUGUUGGUCUGUGAGACCAGAGUAAUGAUUAAGAGGGACGGUCGGGGACAUUCGUAUUUCAUUGUCAGAGGUGAAAUUCUUGGAUUUAUGAAAGACGAACUUCUGCGAAAGCAUUUGUCAAGGAUGUUCUCAUUAA
rnacentral:rRNA from 1 species